GGUGAGAUGUCCGAGUGGUUGAAGGAGCACGCCUGGAAAGUGUGUAUAGGGGAAACUCUAUCGAGGGUUCGAAUCCCUCUCUCACCGCCA
rnacentral:tRNA from 12 species